rnacentral:rRNA from 1 species
UGGGGAAUCUUCCGCAAUGGACGAAAGUCUGACGGAGCAACGCCGCGUGAGUGAAGAAGGUUUUCGGAUCGUAAAACUCUGUCUUUUGGGGCGAACGUGAGUAUGGUGAACAAUCAUAGUCAGUGACGGUACCAAAGGAGGAAGCCACGGCUAACUACGUGCCAGCAGCCGCGGUAAUACGUAGGUGGCAAGCGUUGUCCGGAAUUAUUGGGCGUAAAGAGCGCGUAGGCGGGAUAGUCAGUCUGUUGUAAAAGUGCGGGGCUCAACCCCGUGAUGGCAAUGGAAACAGCUAUUCUUGAGUGCAGGAGAGGAAAGUGGAAUUCCCAGUGUAGCGGUGAAAUGCGUAGAUAUUGGGAGGAACACCAGUGGCGAAGGCGACUUUCUGGACUGUGUCUGACGCUGAGGCGCGAAAGCCAGGGGGAGCGAACGGGAUUAGAUACCCCCGGUAGUCCUGGCCGUAAAACGAUGGGUACUAGGUGUGGGAGGUAUCGACCCCUUCCGUGCCGGAGUUAACGCAAAUAAGUACCCCGCCUGGGGAGUACGGUCGCAAGACUGAAACUUAAAUGAAUUGACGGGGGUCAUAGCUGUUUCCUG